rnacentral:lncRNA from 1 species
AUUUGGAGAGGAUCAAUUUGAACAAGGCAACCUGCCAUUGAACAUCAAUCGAAGGUCAAAUUUGAAAAAUUGAAUUGCCGCAAAUAAGCUCCAUUUUGAGUAAAUAUUAUUGCAAAAGAUCGAAAACUUUUUGGAGAGUGUAUGCAUGAAAUUUGAAAUAAUUUGGUGAGGGACUCCAUGUUUUGGGGCUGAAUUUCUUAAAGAAGGUUAUUUAGAUCUGCGUCCAUGGCUACGUUGUUCAAUGUUGAAGGAUGCUUGAGGGAAAUAGAUCACCAUUGAGACAUUGCUUCCGAGAAUUUC